ACUCCUGCGGGAGGCAGCAGUGGGGAAUAUUGCUCAAUGGGCGCAAGCCUGAUGCAGCCAUGCCGCGUGUAUGAAGAAGGCCUUCGGGUUGUAAAGUACUUUCAGCGGGGAGGAAGGCGAUAAGGUUAAUAACCUUGUCGAUUGACGUUACCCGCAGAAGAAGCACCGGCUAACUCCGUGCCAGCAGCCGCGGUAAUACGGAGGGUGCAAGCGUUAAUCGGAAUUACUGGGCGUAAAGCGCACGCAGGCGGUCUGUCAAGUCGGAUGUGAAAUCCCCGGGCUCAACCUGGGAACUGCAUUCGAAACUGGCAGGCUAGAGUCUUGUAGAGGGGGGUAGAAUUCCAGGUGUAGCGGUGAAAUGCGUAGAGAUCUGGAGGAAUACCGGUGGCGAAGGCGGCCCCCUGGACAAAGACUGACGCUCAGGUGCGAAAGCGUGGGGAGCAAACAGGAUUAGAAACCCUAGUAGUCCCAUG
rnacentral:rRNA from 1 species